CAGUGGUAUGAGUGAUCCUUUGACCUGUGGUGAUAUUGACUAUUUGUAGCGAGGCUACUGAGUUUGACUGCAUAUUUCUUUAGUCCCUAACCAUUCAGAUCUUUGCUGUGUAUGUUGGCUUCAGUAGAUUCAGGUUCGCUGUUUGGAGUAGGAUGUACUUAGAUAAAAUUUAUCGACCUUGAUAGAAAAGGAGAAGUCCUAUAUAAUUUGCAC
rnacentral:lncRNA from 1 species